UCUCCUGGAAACGGGUGGUAAUGCCGGAUGCUCCCGCGCCCCGCAUGGGGUGUGGGGAAAGCUUUCGUGGCAUGGGAUGGGGUCGCGUCCUAUCAGCUUGUUGGCGGGGUGAGGGCCCACCAAGGCGUUGACGGGUAGCCGGCCUGAGAGGGCGACCGGCCACAUUGGGACUGAGAUGCGGCCCAGACUCCUACGGGAGGCAGCAGUGGGGAAUAUUGCACAAUGGGCGCAAGCCUGAUGCAGCGACGCCGCGUGCGGGAUGGAGGCCUUCGGGUUGUAAACCGCUUUUGUUUGGGAGCAAGCCCUUCGGGGUGAGUGUACCUUUCGAAUAAGCACCGGCUAACUACGUGCCAGCAGCCGCGGUAAUACGUAGGGUGCGAGCGUUAUCCGGAAUUAUUGGGCGUAAAGGGCUCGUAGGCGGUUCGUCGCGUCCGGUGUGAAAGUCCAUCGCUUAACGGUGGAUCCGCGUCGGGUACGGGCGGGCUGGAGUGCGGUAGGGGAGACUGGAAUUCCCGGUGUAACGGUGGAAUGUGUAGAUAUCGGGAAGAACACCA
rnacentral:rRNA from 1 species